rnacentral:rRNA from 1 species
UAGGGAAUCUUCCGCAAUGGGCGAAAGCCUGACGGAGCAACGCCGCGUGAGUGAUGAAGGUCUUCGGAUCGUAAAACUCUGUUAUUAGGGAAGAACAUAUGUGUAAGUAACUGUGCACAUCUUGACGGUACCUAAUCAGAAAGCCACGGCUAACUACGUGCCAGCAGCCGCGGUAAUACGUAGGUGGCAAGCGUUAUCCGGAAUUAUUGGGCGUAAAGCGCGCGUAGGCGGUUUUUUAAGUCUGAUGUGAAAGCCCACGGCUCAACCGUGGAGGGUCAUUGAAAACUGGAAAACUUGAGUGCAGAAGAGGAAAGUGGAAUUCCAUGUGUAGCGGUGAAAUGCGCAGAGAUAUGGAGGAACACCAGUGGCGAAGGCGACUUUCUGGUCUGUAACUGACGCUGAUGUGCGAAAGCGUGGGGAUCAAACAGGAUUAGAUACCCUGGUAGUCCACGCCGUAAACGAUGAGUGCUAAGUGUUAGGGGGUUUCCGCCCCUUAGUGCUGCAGCUAACGCAUUAAGCACUCCGCCUGGGGAGUACGACCGCAAGGUUG